AUGCAACUCUCGGGGGCUUAUGCACAGUACCCCGCUCUUCCUCCUCUGCUCUCCUCGUCUCCGCCCUCCGCAACCGCUGCUGCUCUCUGGCUACCUCCUCUCCUGCGCAUUCCGUCGGCGGCCAUGGGCAAAGAGAAGACGACGAUGUUGGAGCGCGCGAAGAAGGCGUCGGCGGCGGAGAAGGCGUCGGCGGCCGAGAAGGCAAAGGGGAGAUCUACCGGCCGUGGUGGUUCCUCGUCGAGAUCCAACCUGCCGAAGGGCUGGGUCCAGGGAGAUUGGAUCCAGUCGACCAUCAAGGAAAAGGAUCUCCUCGAUAUGGCCAACGACGGGUUGAUCCCCCACGGUGCCGCGAGGCUUCCUGGCCGAGAGUGGCAGCCCCAGCCAGAAGAGGGUGAGUGCGUGCUCCUGGCCACCCAUGUCGACCGGGGAUUUUCAUUGCCACCGAGUGUUUUCUUUCGGGGUUUUCUGAAUUUCUUCGGAGCCCAGCUCCAUCAUUUUACUCCAAACUCCAUUGCGUAUCUUGCUGCGUUUGUGUCUAUGUGCGAAAACUUCCUGGGCUGUCGACCGCACUGGGGUUUGUUCAAGUACAUCUUCACAUGUCGCUCUCAGACUGUGAAGAAGGCAAGCCCUGGCGACGAGAAGACCCAAGUAGUUCAGAUGUGUGGUGGCUUAGGGGUCCAGUUGAGGAAUAAAAGCACCUUCCCAGCUAUGUCUUUUCCCGAGUCGGUCAGGGGCUGGCAGUCGACCUGGUUCUAUUGCCGGAAUGAGACGACGCCGGGGCAGUCGACUGGUCUUCCUGCAUUCACCAUGAGUCGAGUGAACAGACCCUCCUCCCUGAAGGUAGUUCCAGAGGAGAGGACUGAGGUGAAGAUGUUGAUGGAUCGCGUGGUGCAGCUGGUUCGGGAUGGUGUGACUGGCAUGGACCUCCUGGAGGUUUUUCUUCGGAGGCGAAUCCAGCCUCUUCAGUUCCGGAGCCACUGCAUGUGGCUGUACUGUGGCACCGAAGACGAGACUCGCGUCCAUCCGGAGGCAGUCGACGAUGCCAUAGUGGAAAGAUGGAUGGCUGCGAUCACCGGAAACAAGGACAACCCUCGCGGAUCCCGGAGGAUUUCCCCACUUGAUCGCGACAGCGUUCCAGAAAAGGUACCUUUGCUCUGUUUUCCGUUGUACAUCCGUCGAGUGUGUUUCUGUAACUUGGUCGACUGA
rnacentral:rRNA from 1 species